ensembl:lncRNA
CCCAGACUGAUCCUUUGCAUGGAUUUUGCUGCGCCUGUUUCCAAGGCUUAGAGCUCUUUAGGAGGUCUUGUUAUAAAUAUUCAGAUGUACAGAUUUUUAAUGAAGAGUUCGGUGGAUGCAUUCUAGAGGAUAAAUGGUCUGUGAAUGGAAACUUUUCUUCCUCAGAGUACAUCAACGUAGCAAUUGCUUGUAUGAAAAACUCUCCGAGACUCAAAUAAAGAGCAGCAGGAUGAGCUCCAAGGCCAGUAAGCCACUUGUAAAUACAAGUGGGCAUAGCAGCUCACAGAAGGCAGCCCAGUAUUUGUGCUGUUCUAAAGGCAUUGGGAACCAGCCAGCAGCUGAGCAGCAGCUAUUUGCAGAACUUGAAGAUCUGCUCUUCCUUCUGCUUCUCUGCAAUUUGUCUCCAUUCCUAGACACCUGGUUCACACCCCCCAUACUCUGAUGAGCCACUCUUGGGCUACCGUUUCUUACAGCUGGCUGCUUUCAGCUGUUUCAAAUCUGGGCUGGAAUCACCUGGCUUUAAUUUAAGUAGCAAACAAAGGCAGCCUUCCCUAUGGGUGUGCUUUAGUUUCAUUGGGGUUGAGUUCCACAAAGAAGAAGUGCGCUGAGUGUGAUGCUUUAACAAAAGCAGCAUACGUCCUAACAAGAAAUAAGGUCCUCUGCUGCUUUCUUCAUAUUGCCAUGCUGUCUUCAAAGGGCGCAUGGACAUCCAGGAGAUGGAUGCUCUGCAAAGCACCUAUGCCUGCAGGGAAAGCCGAAGGCGAAGAGCUGUGUCCUGGUGGCUAUUGCUUCUGUAACAACCACUCAGAUGAGAGAAGCUGAGAUCUUCCUGCUACCAUGGAAAGAAUCCUAGGGAAGAAGACCCAGGGAGAAGGGAGUUGAGAGGUGAGCUGUUCCAAUGAGUGCUGUGCGCCAUCACCAAUGCUUCAGAAGGAAGUAUGGCCUGCCCUCAGUCCUCCUCUGAGCCAACAAGAAAAUCAAAUAUACUAUUUUUAAAGGACUUCCCACGUUUUCCUCAGUGCCCCCGUGCUGCAGCUCUUCUUCAGGCUGGAAUGGUUGGGGUUCCUUCUGCAUCCAUCUGAUGUAGUGGCAUCUCAAAGGCUUUGCGCAGGUGAGAUGGGCACCAGGAGCAUGGGGGGCACAGGGGAAGCCAGGACACGAGUCACAAUCUGUACCUACAUGCUGAAUACGUACACAUGCACUGUAAUGCUGUGGUGCAAGAGCUCUGCUCUGAGCUUGGAUUGGAGCCCAGCAGCUUGGCUUCUCCCUAGAAGGAUGGCAAGGACCAGCUUUAAGCCAAGGAAAGAUUCAAAUGGGGAUGCUCAGCCAUCCAGCUGGUGGGCUGGGAGGGGGAAGCUGUGGUCCCUCCUGCUGUCUCCUGGCAGAUUUUAGAUUGGAUAUUAGAGAACAUUUCUUCUCUGAAAGGGCAGUGAUGCAGUGGCACAGAUGCCCAGGGAAUGGGAAGUUCUACAUCCCUGGAGGUGUUCAAGAAGCAUGGAGAUGUGGCACUGAAGGAUAUGGGCAGUGGGCAUGGUGUGGUGGGCUGGGGGUCUUAGAGGUCUUUUCCAAACACAGCAGUUGUAUGAUUCUAUGAUUGCCACGCUCAGAGCACACCACUGGUCCCCAGACACGAUCGCCUGUGCAUGGUCAUUGGGGACAUCUCUCUGUCAUUACUGCCACCUCAGGGAGGUGCUGGAGGGCACACCAUGACCACAAAGACUCAGGCUGCUCUGGAAAAACGUAGGAGCCUUGGUUGUUCCUUUCACAGAAGCUGUGCCAAAACCUGCUUAAAUUUCCCCAGGAGAUUGGUUGCCUCAGUAAAUGACUCAGCCUACGCCUGGGGCUAAUAGCCAAUAUACAGCUAUUAUUAAACUUUCGUGUUAUUUUGAAGGUAAACAGCAUUUUGAUUUGUUGUGGUUUUAAUUUAAAUUAAGGUCCGUAAUUGGAUAGUGCAGAGCAGCCUUCUGUUUCAGGAACAUGAUAGCAGUGAAUCUGUCUCCUCUCACAGAGCAGAGCCUUGCUCUUAUCUGCACUGAAAAAAAAAAAAAAAAAAAAAAAAAAAGAAAUGAUAGUUAUUUUGAAAUAGGUCAUGUGGUAGAAAAAUGUUUUCUGCUUCCUCAGGUGUCCCUUGCUCCCAAGAGGAUGCUAUCAGGGGACAGCAGUGUCCAUGUCAAAUGUACAGACCUGAGGGCCAAAGGGUAAUUAAAAACAUCAUGAAAGUAAUUUGGUCGCUGAACCUGCUGUGGGUCCUGGGCAUCUUAAGGAGCAAAUACCACCAUGGUUUUUUCCCCUCAGGAAUACAAGGCUAACAGGACAACAGCUCAUCUGUGCAAAGCCCUGACUGCUCUCAAUUUGAAAAAAGCCUGUAGCUGAAUCUGCUGCAGUUUUAUAACACAACCACUAUUAAUGUAGCUGUCCAAACAGUUUGUAGGUUAGGGAAAAGAGAAAACUGCAGUACCAGUUCAUUUGUAGGAAGAUCGGAGGAGCAGCACCAGUGCCAUGUCUACAUGCCUUGGAGGGACCUGCUGUGCCAUACAACCAGCACACUUCCUCUACUGAUAUAUAGAGAGUUUAUAUGCAUAUAUAGGUAUGCAUCAGUGUCACAAAGAUUGUAAAAGGAUGGGGGCGUCUAAUGCACUGGUGAUGCAGUGGCACAGCUGCGCUGGAGUGGUGGGGUCACCAUCCCUGGAGGUGUUUCAGAACCAUGGAGAUGUCGCACUGAGGGAUGUGGGCAGCGGGCAUGGUGAGCUGGGCUGGGGUUGGGCUCGGGGGUCUUGGAGAGCUUUUCCUGAAUGAUUCUGUGAGCCUAUGAUCUCUCAUAGAAGGACAGGCUGAGAGAGCUGCACUGCUCAGCCUGGAGAAGGCUCAGGGGGAUCCCAUCCACAUGUAUAAAUACCUGAUGGGGGCAAUAAGAUGGAACCAUUCUCUUCUCAGUGUUGCCCCAAUGAGGCAACAGGACAGGAAGCAAUGGACAAAGAUGAAAAUAAAACAAAAGUAACAAAAAAAUCCUACAAAAACAAACAAACAAACAAAAAAACAGCAAAAUCAAUCAGGAAAUUCCAUUUAAACAUAAGAAAAUCCUUCUUUAAAUUGCCACCUUGUUUGAACAUGGGAGCAGUUGCACAUUGAGGUGGUGGAUUCUCUGUCCCUGGAGAUGGACAACGCCAGGCUGGAAGCACUGGACAACCUGCUCCAACCAGCCCCGCUCUUUUUGGACCAGACAGUCUCUAGAGCUGCCUCCAGACUCAGUGCAUUUAUUUUAUGUUUCUGUAAUGAUUCUAUAAACUUUGUUUUUCCAAAAACGAUAGUGGGUUUAUCCUGCACAACUUUUAAAUCUGGUAGCUUGUUACAUUUUGUAGCUUCAUUUUGGUCCAUGGGAAGCAUAUUCCUGUGGAUGAAAGAGAUGCAGGGUUUAUUAAUCUGUCCAUUUUACAUUAACUAUCUGGGCAAAAUGAUAGGCAUUUCUUAUUUGAAACUUGUUAUAAAGAAACAUAUGGUCACGUACAUGAAGUGAGAAUAAUUUCAAGUUUGAAAUUCCAUCUAGACGCAGACAUGAAUACCCAAUAGCAACAAAGGAAAUUUGAAAGCAGUUUAGACUAAGCCUGGGGUAUAAUAAUCUGCAAAUGAAAUGCAAAUUCCUCUCAGCAGGAGUGCAAUAUGCUGUUGUCUCAACAGGGGUACUAUUUACUGUUGCUUUGGAAACGUGCAGGAGGGAAGCAUGGGCCAUUGCUUCGACAGAGGGUAAAGGCAGCUUGUACCUUUCUUCUGCUUGAAUUCCAAACCUGGCUUUUGGAAGUGGGCUGUUCACCCUAAUAGGAUGGGUUGUGCAAUAAUUAACAGUAAUUGCAUUCAUAUAAAGUCCUGUGGAAACCUCUGCUCACUCCUGGCCCUUCAUAUCACACAUCAGAACUGCCUUCCUGAUUCCCAACUUAACGCAGUCUUAGAGAUAUCCUCAUUGGGGAGCGAUGCUUAAACACUCCUACAUUCAUUAGAGCUGAACUAUCACUGUACUUCUGACAUCUCUCCAUUGCUGCUGGAUUGCUGGUAAGCAGCUUGACGGCUCUUUCAUCCACAAACAUUCCUCCCUUCAGCUGCUGGUACACAGCACUGUGCCUGGAAACCUUUCACACCUCCAUCUUUAUGGCCACAUAGAAGAAUCGUGUAACUAGAACUGCAAUCUGCAGCCGAUUGCAAUAGAAAAGGAAAUUAGUAUCCUGCAUUUAAUUAAUAUUUGUACUGAGAGAAUUGUUAAAAUCUAGCCAGCUGUUACCAUCCCUUUCAUUACUUUAAAUGUUGAUAACAUUUGUCUCAUACCAAAAAUACUUCAGCAACCAAAGCACUCAUGAAGACCGAUGGUGGAAAUUGAAAGAGAUUGUAUUUAUCACAGCAUCAAAGCUGCAAAUGCAGUGAGUGUGGAUGGGGGCGAGUUCUACUGUGCCAUACAACAGAAUCAGUACCAUUGCUCAGUGCUCCAAUAUUCUCAGAAAGAAAUGACUCCCAUGUUCAGAGAAACCAAACUUGUUUCUAAAGUGACAUAAAUUGUCAUUUCUUAAGUGAUCAGGCAAAAAAGUUAGAAGAAUAGUAACAACAAAAGACUGUCUGGAGAUACACUGUUGUUGUGUUUUAGUGAUUGUUGUUGUCAGUAUUUAACAUUAGAACAUCAUGCAGAACAAUGGCAGUUAAGGUUCUGGUUCCAUGUUACCGCCUUUUUGGGCAUUUUGUGUUCCCGGAGGGGAGGAGCGGCAUCCCCAGCGGACUUGGACAGAAGAGGAAGUAAGAUGGAGCUCUGGACUGGACCCCAGCCGCUCUCUGCCUCUGGCCGUCUUAGCCUGCCGUGGAGAAAAGCACGUGCUUCCCUAGCACUAUCGUGGUUUGACUCGUGCUUUAAAUACUCUCGGCUCUCUCAUUUUGUUUGAUUAAAUUUAGUAAAAUACCAUUCCUCCUC